rnacentral:rRNA from 1 species
CUGGCUCAGGACGAACGCUGGCGGCAUGCCUAACACAUGCAAGUCGAACGGAAGUAGCAAUACUUUAGUGGCGAACGGGUGAGUAACACGUGAGCAACCUGCCUUAUACUCAGGGAUAACAGUUGGAAACGACUGCUAAUACCGGAUAAGACCACACUAUGGCAUCAUAGAGGGGUCAAAGUGCUUUAGCGGUAUGAGAUGGGCUCGCGUCCAAUUAGCUAGUUGGUGGGGUAACGGCCCACCAAGGCGACGAUUGGUAGCCGACUUGAGAGAGUGAUCGGCCACACUGGAACUGAGACACGGUCCAGACUCCUACGGGAGGCAGCAGUGGGGAAUAUUGGGCAAUGGAGGAAACUCUUACCCAAGCAAUGCCGCGUGAGUGAUGAAGGUCUUUGGAUUGUAAAGCUCUUUGAUUGGGGAAGAAUAAAUGACGGUACCCAAAGAACAAGCCCCGGCUAACUAUGUGCCAGCAGCAGC